rnacentral:rRNA from 1 species
GAUGAACGCUGGCGGCGUGCCUAAUACAUGCAAGUCGAGCGAACAGACGAGGAGCUUGCUCCUCAGACGUUAGCGGCGGACGUGUGAGUAACACGAGGAGAACCUACCUAUAAGACUGGGAUAACUUCGGUAAACCGGUGCUAAUACCGGUAAAUAUAUUGAACCGCUUGGUUCAAUAAGCAAAGACGGUUUUGCUGUCACUUAUAGAUGGUUCGCUACCGCAUUAGCUAGUUGGUAAGGUAACGGCUUACCAAGGCAACGAUGCGUAGCCGAGCUGACAGGGUGAUCGUCCCCCCUGGACUGGAACCACGGUCCAGACUCCUCCGGGAGGCAGCAGUAGGGAAUCUUCCGCAAUGGGCGAAAGCCUGGCGGGGCCACGCCGCGUCAGUGAUGAAGUUCUUCGGAUCGUAAAACUCUGUUAUUAGGGAAAAACAAAUGUGUAAGUAACUAUGCACGUCUUGACGGUACCUAAUCAGAAAGCCACGGCUAACUACGUG